AGCAUAAUUAAGUGCAAACUGCAGGCAGUGCGAGAACUUACCUGUGGAAGUGGAAGUGGAAGUAGAAGUAGAUGAUUCUUGCACCGCAGAACAGGUGAUACUUCUCCUUGAUAUUGCUGACUUGCUAGCAAUCUGCUGCAUACAUUUAUGGAAGAUAAUGUACUAUUUACUGAAAUGAAAUUAACCCACAAAGUAAAUUGAGUGCCAGUUAGGGAGUAGGCUAGUUGUACUUAAUUAGGGACUUUUGAGUUCAAGUCUUCUCCUCGGUCCUCAUUAUCUACUAAUACCAUAUUACUAAUUUUAAUAAAAUCGUAUACCCAGUCGAACUAAUCUCCAAUAAAUAAAAAGAAAUUGAGUCAAUGUUCCUGCAUCUUGAUCCUUAAAAAUCGUAUGCGAUAAAGAAAGAAACUGCAUUUAUAGGAAAGCCAUCUAGUCGUAGCAGUCUAUGAUUAACAGAAGCUGUCUUCCUGUAAAGGUCCCAGAUAUUGGAUAUGUUACAAGACACGCACAGCUUGAGACAGUUGAAAAAACCAAUAAAAAAUUUGAGCUCUCUUGAACUGAACUUGUUAUUUCUGUUUCAUGGAUAAUUCAAGAAUUGUUUGACAGCAUGACUUCUGCUCAUGAUUGUCUUUUUUUUCUUCUCCUGGAACAGAGCCAACAUAUUCAAAAAAGAAAAUAACAUUUGCAUGAAAUAUGGAAAUAUAUAUACAUACCAAAGAGAGUGUGUAAGUGGUUCUUGCUUUCCUAUUAAAACAAGAAGGUGAUGAAGGGAAGCUUGAAACUCCCAUAGCCCCACCUCUAGCUGCCAUGUUAUUAAAUAUUGAGUGCAUUCAAGAAACUUAUGUACUUCCUUUUUCUCCUUUCUUCUUUUCAGUCAUCAAUCAUAUUCCUAUUUCUGUGAGAUUCUUUUUAUUUAACAUGAGAAGCAAAACAGACAGGAGGAGCAGAAGUUGAAACUCAGAAAUGGAAGAGAGGCACUCAAGAAGAGAAGAGAAGAGAAGAGAAGAGAGCAUUCUGAUCCACACAAAGUUUGGUAAAAU
rnacentral:lncRNA from 1 species